UUUGCCCGUGGUAUCUAAUGUCCAGACUUGUUCAGUUGCUGGAUGUUUCGUUUUGAGGGCACAAAUAAGCUAGAGAACAGGUCUUGCGACACAGUUAGCUUUACUAUUGAUAAGCUUUCUGUUACUUUAAUCCUGCUCACAUUU
rnacentral:snoRNA from 1 species